UAACGAAUCUUCCGCAAUGCGCGAAAGCGUGACGGAGCAAUGCCGCGUGCAGGAUGAAGCCCCUCGGGGUGUAAACUGCUGUCAGGGUCUAGAAACAAAAUGAUCAGACCCAGAGGAAGGGCCGGCUAACUCUGUGCCAGCAGCCGCGGUAAUACAGAGGGCCCGAGCGUUAAUCGGAUUUACUGGGCUUAAAGGGUGCGUAGGCGGAUGCGUAAGUGUCCUGUGAAAUCCCAUGGCUCAACCAUGGAACGGCAGGGCAGACUGCGUGUCUUGAGGUCGGUAGAGGUUGUCGGAACUCUAGGUGUAGCGGUGAAAUGCGUAGAUAUCUAGAGGAACGCCAAAGGUGAAGACAGGCAACUGGGCCGAAUCUGACGCUGAGGCACGAAAGCGUGGGUAGCGAACG
rnacentral:rRNA from 1 species